GACGAACGCUGGCGGCGUGCUUAACACAUGCAAGUCGAACGAGAACGGAUUAUAGCUUGCUAUAAUUGUCAGCUAAGUGGCGCGCGGGUGAGUAAUGUAUAGGUAAUAUGCCUCUUACUAAGGGAUAACAAAUGGAAACGUUUGCUAAUACCUUAUACUCCUUAUUAACAUAAGUUAAUAAGGGAAAGAUUUAUUGGUAAGAGAUUAGCCUGUAUUGUAUCAGUUAGUUGGUGGGGUAAUGGCUUACCAAGACUAUGACACAUAACUGGUUUGAGAGGAUGAUCAGUCACACUGGAACUGAGACACGGUCCAGACUCCUACGGGAGGCAGCAGUGGGGAAUAUUGCACAAUGGACGAAAGUCUGAUGCAGCAACGCCGCGUGGAGGAUGACACAUUUCGGUGCGUAAACUCCUUUUAUAUGAGAAGAUAAUGACGGUAUUAUAUGAAUAAGCACCGGCUAACUCCGUGCCAGCCGCCGCCGUAA
rnacentral:rRNA from 1 species